AAGACUAUGCUUUCAGGGAUCAUUUCCAUAGUGUUAAACUAGGACAUGUAUUUCGAAGGAGUAGGGUUUCUUGAACCACGAUGAAGAGUAUUGGUGUUAUUCUCUGAGCGUGAAUCAAGGAAUGGUUGAUGAUAGUUAUCAAUGAUCAUUACUAUUUAUGAAUGUUCUUUAAUCCUAAUAUGUUAAAAGAAGAGAAAUGCAUUAUCUGAGUGGG